rnacentral:lncRNA from 1 species
CUCCCAGCACACUCCGGGGGAGACUGCUUUUGUCACAAGUCCCCUGGGACAGGAAAAGCUUGCUGAUUUUGAGGUGAUGGAGGAAAACCCUUCACGGCACCUAUCUUUUAUUUCAUUGAUGCAAUGGCAGCAGUCCCGGUUCCUAAUCAGGGGAGCAGAGCCAGGCUUCAGGCAGAUCCCAUGCUGCCCAGUAUGACAGCAGCCAGGAGCCACAGCGUGUGGCUGCUGGACUCUUGAAUGUGGUUUGUUUGAUGGAGGAGCUGAAUUUUUAAUUGUAUUUAAUUUCAGUUAACGUCACACCGGAUAUUCAGUUCAGUUUUGGGCAAACUUGUAAGUGUAUUUAAAUUACCCUAGGCACACGCGUCUAUUUUUCAAAUGAUACGUCUUCUGAACUUUAGCUACGGAUCAAACGCGUCCUUAACGGUGAUCAGCGUUUCCGAUGACAGUUUAGCGGUCACGCUGAAAUGUGCUGAGUGUAAAAAUGCCCUGGUUUCGAAGACUUCACAACAUGCAAAGAGAAACGGAAAGGAGCUGGCGAAUACGUUUUUGGGUUGAUUCCAUGUUGAAGUGAUACUAUUUCAGAUAAGAUGGAUUAAAUAAAACGAAUUAUUCAAACGGAAUCCACCUACAAGGGGUUAUUCUCCAGCCGUAAAAAGGAACGGAGGACGUGUUCCCAGGCGACCACGUGCACGAACCUGGCACCAGGCUGUGCGCAGGGAGCACACGUGUUCUGCGAUUCCACGGACGCGACGCGACCGGAGGAGGCGGGGCCGUGGAGACAGGAAUUUCCCGGGAAAUUGUGGCAGCUGAAUUUGCAUGAUGUAGCUACAAAUGGAAUCUGCAAAAUGUGUGUGUUCAUGUGGUUUGGACGUGAGAAUAAUUCCUGUACCCGGUCAUGUCGGGAAGAGUCGAAAUAUUCACUUCCCGUCCCCCAGGGACCAGGCCAGCUCUCGGACCCUGACAGUUGAUGGCAGCUUGGAGGCUUAAUGGAGGCCGCGUGACCCAUGGAACGCCUGCAGGCCAGCCACCCUGCGCUCAAGAAAUGGGAGCGGCUAUUAGCAGCAGGACUGCUCUUAGAAAAUGUGCUAAGUAAUGCAUGGAGUGUGGUGUUUCACAGCCACGUAAUGAUGGUAAAAUACGCUGUAAAUCAAUAGAGGAGGUGGCCUGUGUUUUAACCCUUUGAAUCAGUUU